rnacentral:sRNA from 1 species
AUAUGGAUUUCAUAUAUAUAUAUUUGUGUGUGUAUUUGUCCGUAUGUCUCGGUGGGCUGAAGUUUUUUCGCGCUCAGAAUAUUUUGUCCAGCAAAUUAUCUACAUCAGUUGUUAAUUGCUAUUUGACGCGUUAUAUCGGCUACCGACGUAUUCCGACCGACUUGGCUUUAGCUUCGAAAUAUUUUCCACCAACUUUGUGGUUAUACCAAUUGAUUGGUGCGUGAGCAGUGUAAUACUCCCACUCCAUUGCUCUCAUUCAGAAUUCCGCGCAACCCUUGCCGAAAA